GAUGAACGCUGGCGGCGUGCUUAACACAUGCAAGUCGAACGGUGAAGCAGGAGCUUGCUCUUGUGGGUCAGUGGCGAACGGGUGAGUAACACGUGAGCAACCUGCCCCUGACUCUGGGAUAAGCGCUGGAAACGGCGUCUAAUACUGGAUAUGUGAUGUGACCGCAUGGUCUGCAUCUGGAAAGAAUUUCGGUUGGGGAUGGGCUCGCGGCCUAUCAGCUUGGUGGUGAGGUAAUGGCUCACCAAGGCGUCGACGGGUAGCCGGCCUGAGAGGGUGACCGGCCAGACUGGGACUGCGACACGGCCCAGACUCCUACGGGAGGCAGCAGUGGGGAAUAGUGCACAAUGGGCGGAAGCCUGAUGCAGCAACGCCGCGUGAGGGAUGACGGCCUUCGGGUUGUAAACCUCUUUUAGCAGGGAAGAAGCGAAAGUGACGGUACCUGCAGAAAAAGCACCGGCUAACUACGUGCCAGCCGCCGCGGUAA
rnacentral:rRNA from 1 species